UGAGUAACACGUAUCCAACCUGCCGUCUACUCUUGGACAGCCUUCUGAAAAGAAGAUUAAUACAAGAUGGCAUCAUGAGUCCGCAUGUUCACAUGAUUAAAGGUAUUCCGGUAGACGAUGGGGAUGCGUUCCAUUAGAUAGUAGGCGGGGUAACGGCCCACCUAGUCUUCGAUGGAUAGGGGUUCUGAGAGGAAGGUCCCCCACAUUGGAACUGAGACACGGUCCAA
rnacentral:rRNA from 1 species